UGGGGAAUUUUGGUCAAUGGGCGCAAGCCUGAACCAGCAACGCCGCGUGGGUGAUGAAGGCCUUCGGGUUGUAAAGCCCUGUCGGAGGGGACGAAACGCCAGAGUAACGAACUGGCCUGACGGUACCCUCAAAGGAAGCACCGGCUAACUCUGUGCCAGCAGCCGCGGUAAUACAGAGGGUGCAAGCGUUGUUCGGAAUUACUGGGCGUAAAGCGCGUGUAGGCGGCUUGUUAAGUCUCGUGUGAAAGCCCUGAGCUCAACUCAGGAAGUGCGCGAGAUACUGGCGAGCUGGAGUGACGGAGAGGAUGGCGGAAUACCCGGUGUAGAGGUGAAAUUCGUAGAUAUCGGGUGGAACACCUGUGGCGAAGGCGGCCAUCUGGACGUCAACUGACGCUGAGACGCGAAAGCGUGGGGAGCAAACAGG
rnacentral:rRNA from 1 species